UCAGUAACUUUUAUCAUCAAAACAGUGGUAAAAGUUAGUGACUAGUAAAUUCACUAACGUAACUUUUCGCCGUGAUGACACCGAAAUGUUACGUUUUUUU
rnacentral:ncRNA from 1 species